rnacentral:rRNA from 1 species
AACCCUUGUCCUUAGUUACCAGCACGUUAUGUGGGCGACUCUAAGGAGACUGCCGGUGACAAACCGGAGGAAGGUGGGGAUGACGUCAAGUCAUCAUGGCCCUUACGGCCUGGGCUACACACGUGCUACAAUGGUCGGUACAAAGGGUUGCCAAGCCGCGAGGUGGAGCUAAUCCCAUAAAACCGAUCGUAGUCCGGAUCGCAGUCUGCAACUCGACUGCGUGAAGUCGGAAUCGCUAGUAAUCGUGAAUCAGAAUGUCACGGUGAAUACGUUCCCGGGCCUU